rnacentral:rRNA from 1 species
CUGGCGGCGUGCCUAAUACAUGCAAGUCGAACGGUCUUUCUAUGGAAGCUUGCUUCCGCUGAGAAGAUAGUGGCGAACGGGUGAGUAACACGUGGGUAACCUGCCCAUAAGAGGGGGAGUAACAUCCGGAAACGGGUGCUAAUACCGCAUAGUUUUCUUGAUCGCAUGAUCGGGAAAGGAAAGACGGCCUUUGUGCUGUCGCUUAUGGAUGGACCCGCGGCGUAUUAGUUAGUUGGCGAGGUAACGGCUCACCAAGACGAUGAUACGUAGCCGACCUGAGAGGGUGAUCGGCCACAUUGGGACUGAGACACGGCCCAAACUCCUACGGGAGGCAGCAGUAGGGAAUCUUCCGCAAUGGACGAAAGUCUGACGGAGCAACGCCGCGUGAGUGAAAGAAGGUUUUCGGAUCGUAAAACUCUGUUGUCAGAGAAGAACAAGUUGGAGAGUAACUGCUCCAGCCUUGACGGUAUCUGACCAGAAAGCCACGGCUAACUACGUGCCAGCCGCGGC